AAAGAGCAGACAUACCACACAAAGAAGUUCACCCUGAGCUCUGGUUGUAUGUCUGUGGUCAUCAUUGUGCUGAAAGCGCUUCCCUGUUCCUGUUGAAAAAAAGUAUUUCCACAGUAUGAUGUCACCACCACCUUGUUCCAUGCUGCCAAUAUUUGGUUCUACUUGGUAUGACGGAUCAACAACUCCUUCUACACUUUUCUGAAUG